ACGGGAGGCGCAGUAGGGAAUAUUGCACAAUGGGGGAAACCCUGAUGCAGCGACGCCGCGUGAGUGAUGAAGUAUUUCGGUACGUAAAGCUCUAUCAGCAGGAGAGAUAAUGACGGUACCUGACUAAGAAGCCCCGGCUAACUACGUGCCAGCAGCCGCGGUAAUACGUAGGGGGCAAGCGUUAUCCGGAUUUACUGGGUGUAAAGGGAGUGUAGGUGGCGUGGCAAGUCAGAUGCGAAAGCCCGCGGCUCAACCGCGGGACUGCAUUUGAAACUGUCAUGCUAGAGUGCAGGAGAGGAAAGUGGAAUUCCUAGUGUAGCGGUGAAAUGCGUAGAUAUUAGGAGGAACACCAGUGGCGAAGGCGGCUUUCUGGACUGUUACUGACACUGAGGCUCGAAAGCGUGGGGAGCAAACAGGAUUAGAUACCCUGGUA
rnacentral:rRNA from 1 species